rnacentral:rRNA from 1 species
GACGAACGCUGGCGGCGUGCUUAACACAUGCAAGUCGAACGGUGAAGCGCCUUCCUUUUUGGUGGGUGUGGAUGAGUGGCGAACGGGUGAGUAACACGUGAGUAACCUGCCCCCUUCUUCUGGAUAACCGCAUGAAAGUGUGGCUAAUACGGGAUAUUCUGGGUCUGUCGCAUGAUGGGUCUGGGAAAGCUAUUGUUUCGGUGGGUGAUUGUCUCGCGGCCUAUCAGCUUGUUGGUGGGGUGAUGGCCUACCAAGGCGGUGACGGGUAGCCGGCCUGAUAGGGUGGACGGGCACAGUGGGAAGGAGACACGGACAAGACUACGACGGGAGGCAGCAGUGAGGAAUAUGGCACGAGGGGGGGAAGCAUGAUGCAGCGACGCCGAGUGAGGGAUGGAGGCCUUCGGGUUGAGAACCUCUUUCGCCAGUGAAGCAGGCCUGCCUCGUUUGUGGGUGGGUUGACGGUAGCUGGAUAAGAAGCGCCGGCUAACUACGUG